UACGGAGGAUGCAAGCGUUAUCCGGAAUGAUUGGGCGUAAAGGGUCCGCAGGUGGCAGUGUAAGUCUGCUGUCAAAGAAUGAGGCUUAACCUCAUCAAGGCUGUGGAAACUACACAGCUAGAGUACGGUCGGGGUAGAAGGAAUUCCUGGUGUAGCGGUGAAAUGCGUAGAGAUCAGGAAGAACACCGGUGGCGAAAGCGUUCUGCUAGACCUGUACUGACACUGAGGGACGAAAGCUAGGGGAGCGAAUGGG
rnacentral:rRNA from 1 species